rnacentral:rRNA from 1 species
UUGAACGCUGGCGGCAUGCCUUACACAUGCAAGUCGAACGGCAGCACGGACUUCGGUCUGGUGGCGAGUGGCGAACGGGUGAGUAAUACAUCGGAACGUGCCUAGUAGUGGGGGAUAACUACUCGAAAGAGUGGCUAAUACCGCAUGAGAUCUACGGAUGAAAGCAGGGGAUCGUAAGACCUUGUGCUACUAGAGCGGCCGAUGGCAGAUUAGGUAGUUGGUGGGAUAAAAGCUUACCAAGCCAACGAUCUGUAGCUGGUCUGAGAGGACGAUCAGCCACACUGGGACUGAGACACGGCCCAGACUCCUACGGGAGGCAGCAGUGGGGAAUUUUGGACAAUGGGCGAAAGCCUGAUCCAGCAAUGCCGCGUGCAGGAUGAAGGCCUUCGGGUUGUAAACUGCUUUUGUACGGAACGAAAAGCUUCGGGUUAAUACCCUGAAGUCAUGACGGUACCGUAAGAAUAAGCACCGGCUAACUACGUGCCAGCAGCCGCGGUAAUACGUAGGGUGCAAGCGUUAAUCGGAAUUACUGGGCGUAAAGCGUGCGCAGGCGGUUUUGUAAGACAGAGGUGAAAUCCCCGGGCUCAACCUGGGAACUGCCUUUGUGACUGCAAGGCUAGAGUACGGCAGAGGGGGAUGGAAUUCCGCGUGUAGCAGUGAAAUGCGUAGAUAUGCGGAGGAACACCGAUGGCGAAGGCAAUCCCCUGGGCCUGUACUGACGCUCAUGCACGAAAGCGUGGGGAGCAAACAGGAUUAGAUACCCUGGUAGUCCACGCCCUAAACGAUGUCAACUGGUUGUUGGGUCUUCAUUGACUCAGUAACGAAGCUAACGCGUGAAGUUGACCGCCUGGGGAGUACGGCCGCAAGGUUGAAACUCAAAGGAAUUGACGGGGGCCCGCACAAGCAGUGGAGUAUGUGGUUUAAUUCGAAGCAACGCGAAGAACCUUACCAGGGCUUGACAUAUACAGGAAUACUUAAGAAAUUAGGUAGUCUUUCGAGACUUGUAUACAGGUGGUGCAUGGUUGUCGUCAGCUCGUGUCGUGAGAUGUUGGGUUAAGUCCCGCAACGAGCGCAACCCUUGCCAUUAGUUGCUACGAAAGGGCACUCUAAUGGGACUGCCGGUGACAAACCGGAGGAAGGUGGGGAUGACGUCAAGUCCUCAUGGCCCUUAUAGGUGGGGCUACACACGUCAUACAAUGGCUGGUACAAAGGGUUGCCAACCCGCGAGGGGGAGCUAAUCCCAUAAAGCCAGUCGUAGUCCGGAUCGCAGUCUGCAACUCGACUGCGUGAAGUCGGAAUCGCUAGUAAUCGUGGAUCAGCAUGUCACGGUGAAUACGUUCCCGGGUCUUGUACACACCGCCCGUCACACCAUGGGAGCGGGUCUCGCCAGAAGUAGGUAGCCUAACCGCAAGGAGGGCGCUUACCACGGCGGGGUUCGUGACUGGGGUG